rnacentral:rRNA from 1 species
UACGAAGGGUGCAAGCGUUACUCGGAAUUACUGGGCGUAAAGGGUGCGUAGGUGGUUGUUUAAGUCUGCUGUGAAAGCCCCGGGCUCAACCUGGGAAUGGCAGUGGAUACUGGACAGCUAGAGUGCGGUAGAGGGUAGUGGAAUUCCCGGUGUAGCAGUGAAAUGCGUAGAUAUGCGGAGGAACACCGAUGGCGAAGGCAAUCCCCUGGACCUGUACUGACGCUCAUGCACGAAAGCGUGGGGAGCAAACAGG